ACCCGGCCACCAUUGGAUGUGGCGUGUGUCAGUCACCAUGGAUACCCGCCCAGAGGUUUAUGCGGCAGCCACUUUAGCCAGUCUGUGGCAGUGAUUGCUGGUGGCUCUUGGCUCCGCGAAUCCCUGACUGGUAUCCAGGCCUGGACUCUGAGCCACUGGCUGGAGAGGGAAGUCUACAGCUCCCUGGUGGGAGAAAUGGGAUUUAUUAAUAAAUUUGCUUAAAAGACAAUAAGUCACAGAGUAGAAUUUAGCGAAUAAAUUCUUAAUAAACCCAAGGCUAUCGGGCUUGUCGGAAAUAAUUCUGUAAAUGUUUGUUCCUGGGGAUUGACGUGCAUUAGGUUUCAUCCCCAUAACCAAAAAGACAAUCCUGAUGUACAACCAGCCAUUAAACCCAUUGGCCAUGUCAAAGAAUGUGUCUCUAACAGGAAGACAAACUUCCUAAGUCCUGGCCUGACAUAAACCCUGUUUCUCCUCUGGAGAAAAGCAAAAUUCUGCCGGAUGGGCAAGAUGCCCCUUGGUAACAACUGUUACUAAGCAGCACUGAUGUACUUAAUAACUCUGGCAGUAUUUUGCUGCGUAACUCUCGCAGCCUAUAGUCUCUGUUUAUACUGGGGUCCGCAUCCCUUAGUCCCUACUUGUUACAGGAUAUGUCUGGCAUACCCCACCCCCUACCCUAAAUUUUUUCCAAUCUGGGAGCUGUGCUACCCUUCUCCCCAGAUGCCUUUCCCUAUGUAACUCGGCCAUUUUUUGUUACCUGGUCCUUUCAGUCUACCCAUUAAUCUCUUGGCCAGUUCCUUAGCCCAAGCUGCCAGUCUUGGUUGGCGACUCCCCUCUAGCUCUCCCUUCCUGUAUCUCUUCAGAUGGCCCCACUCAGUCUGGCGUCGAUCACUCUACCUGAAGUCUCUCUACCUCUGACGGUGCUCUCCCUUUUAUCUACAGUAAACUUUGUCCUUCAUAUCUAAGGGCAGUCACUUCCUUUCCUUUUUAUAUCUUUUUGUCAUUCAGGUGGCGGGUUCCUCUUUGGUCGUUAGCCAGAGCCAGAAGCACACUGUUAUUAAAUAGCUUUUCUAUGCUUUUCCAGAGUGGAUAGAGUGAAAUCUUCUGGGAGGGCAUACUUCCCUGCCUCAGGAGAUACACCCAUUUCUGCAGUUGAGGCAGCAGGGGGCAAGGGAAGCUUGCCUCCAGCCAGCAACAGGAGCCCCUCCACAGAUCUGUCAGGGCAGCUUGAGAACCAGGGAACCAGUGUCACUAAGAUCUCUAGCACAGAAGUUGGAGGCCCUCUCCCGUGGCCAUGUGUAGCCCUCACUUUGACCUGAAACACUUGUGACCUUUUCCUGAUCAAAUGCCUCCCACUGGGCACAUUUCAUGCUCCAUAAAACCCAAGGGCCCCUGGCUUUCAAGAUGACCUUUCCUGGCCUCCUCCUCCUUCCUGGUCUAGCCCAAUUCUGUGAAGGCUGCCAUUGGCCUUAAUGCCUCCAAACCUGUAGUGGGACAGUUCUCUAAUUCGCCACCCUCCCCUGGAAUCCCCUCCCCACUUUGCUAGACAUGACAUUUAGGUCUUCUUCUAUCACCCCAUUCGGUGCCUUCCACUUGGAGAACGCUUCCGUGAGAAGUUUACCUCUUCCAUUUUGGUCGCCUGUAAGAUGCUGGUAAAUGACUUACUAAACGGCAGGGAGUCAAACUCCUGAUGGCGAUUCCAAAGAUUGUUUUUAAACUCCAACUUCCUCCCCAAGCUGAAAACAGCCCUGAGCCACUUCCUCUAAGUCAGUUUGGAUACAUUCAGGAAUGUUCCAGUCCCAUUAACGCUAGUCUUAAAAUAAAAGGCAAGAGAGUUGAAGAUCCUUUUCCCUGGCCACAGAAAAUCUCCUUUGGAAUAUCUUUAGCCCAGUUUCUCCCUGGGUCACCAUUCUCUGCUGAGAGUGCCUCUGAGUUCUGGCUUCCCAGAACUCACUGUUGGUUGAGAGUUGACUCAUAAAGAUUCCCUAGGACAGAUCUCUCCAUUGAGUUUGUUUCAUUCGUUCACCCAACAACCUGUCUCCCACUGGAUACCCCAGAGACACAAUCUCAACACUGGGGUGCUUAUUCCCCGUAUAUGCCAAACCACCACCGACUUUACAUAGCGAGGAGGGGGUCCCAUAUUCUGAGGUGGGCACGAAGGAGGAGUACUGCACGUCUCAUGUAGUGGCUGGUAAGAAAGUAGUUGCAGCUGGGAGGGUCCCAAGGACUAGACAGAAAUUAAGCUGCCACAAUUAUGGGCAGAGCCAUUCAUUUAUUGACCUUGUUUCCCUGGACUUUAGGGAGAGGAGACACUAUGCCACCAGGGUUCAGAACACAUCACUUUCUGUGGAGAGCAGACCCAGGAGCACCAGAAGCCAGGAGGAGACAAUCGUAUGAGUUUAAUGACAGGGAUGGAGAACUGAAUGGGUUCUGGAGUGUUUAAAGGCUAAAGUGGAGAAAAGUGAGCCAUGGAUUAGACAUGGAGCUACAGAAAGCAAGCAGCACUGUGGGAUGAUGAUCUUGGGGUUUGGGUUGAGUUUCUGUCUGGCUGGCCAGACUUUGGUGCCAUCAAGUGUUCUUGAACCCCAAAACACUAUUAAGGAGCCAUUUCCAAUGUAAUCACAUUGGGGUCUCUUUAUUACAAGCUCUGGGCUUACUCACCACCGGCCCACAGGAGAGUUUGAUGAAGCAACCCAGAACUCUCAUCGGAAGGAGGUUUUAUAGGAAACGGAAGUAAGUGACAGGGGUCCAGCCUGGCAUGCAUCUAACUGAAUGUCUGUUGUGAGCCGACAGGGGGGGGUGCUCUGAAGUAAGACCCUGUACAAUCAUGGACGGUCUGAAAGUACUUCUGAAACAAUCAGACUAAUCUUUGAUUAAGUAGCUAAGGAGUGACUCUGGUCAAGGACAAGCCGUGAGGUCCUUCCUGGUACUUGGGUGCAACUUGGGUUCCACCGCAGGCCAAGUUCUCAGGCUUUCUUCUCCCUCUGCUACUCCUUCUCCUGUUUUAAGAUGGAGGCCGGUUCCAAGAUGGAGUAGCUUUAGCUUCUCAUUUCCCCCUUUGUCAACUAGAAGGCCCAGUCAUGGGACUUCCUGAAGCUCACAGGCUUUGUUCUGGGGGGACUGGUAGUGCCUUUUCAUCACCGUAAGUUGGAUAGUCCCAAGUCUGUCCUUCAUGAACUGGACUAAUUUGUUUAGAAUGUGGGGGCCAAAGGUAAGGAGCGGAAAUAAAAUGAGCCUGGGACCCAGCAGGGCAGGUAUCAGGGGUCCGCCACAGGGAGCUGUUGAACCAUAGUUUGAAUCAGCCUUGUGCCUGUUCUCUUUGUUUUUCUCUUGGCCAGGCCCUCUCUAACUUUGGCCGUUGACUCUUUGACCAAUCUGGUCAGCAUAAAAACAGCAUUCUUCUUUGAUGGCUGCACAUAGCCCUCCCUGAUGCAAAAACAGGAGAUCCAGCCCCCUCCUAUUUUGGAGUACUGCCUUUGCCGGGGAACCCAGAGAAUCUUGGAGGUGAGAGGUUCCUGUUUCUAAUCUCUAUAUCAGUAUCUGUGGCCUCUCUUAAACCAUCAUGUUUGUUUUGUAACAUCAAGGAAGUUAUCCUGGUUCCUGUGCCAGCCACUCCCAGUCCUAUGAGAGUUACAACUGAAAUUAGUUUGCGCUUGGCUCAGGGACCAAACCCGAGGUUCUAGGAUUGUUACCCAGGAAAUCUAGGACUUGGUCGUCUGUGUGAUAGAUGAUCCCGGGUAACAACAGGACCAGUAUACAGGAUCCUUCGGAUACCUGGAGUAAAGCCCUACAGUCAUUUGCAGGUCUGGUUUCACAGGUGGCUAUAGACCCCAGGGACUAAUCUAUGCAAGUGACCUUCUGUGGCUAGUAAUGUCAGCCUAGCCUCACCUGUUGCCAUCUGCACUCACUGGGGUUCUCAGUUUCAGUCAAGUUUCUAGUCAGGGCUGUGCCUUCAAAGCAGGGUGGUUUUAUUUUAUCGUGCAGCCAGCAUGACUCAGCUAACUCAGGUCAGGAGGCAUUGGUGACCAGAAAAGACUGGUCCACCAUAUUCCAGAGAGGGUCAGGGCUAUUAUUACUCAGUCUUCGUGUUAUCCUGGUGGCUUGGGUUGGGGCCUUAUUAGGGGAAGAUGGGCAUGAGCCCCGGGGGUGGAUUGGCAUCUGAGCCCUCAGGGGUGAUGGAAGUGGGGGUUUAGACAGCAGGACAUUGGGGCUGAGAACAGUUGGGGAUGUCUGAACAUAGAGUAGGAUGGUGAACAGGACUCCAGGGUCUUUACCAGUAACAAAGUCUUCAAGUCUUUCUGGUAGUCCGUUCAGCCUUCCAGCCAUCAUCUGUGAAUCUACUAAUAAGAGGAUUGCACUUCUCCCCACAGCCCCUGGUAUUGCGUCUAGUCAUGGUGAUGAGGUCCUUACUGGGAGGCCUCCAGUGAGCCAUGGAUUAGACAUGGGUUGUCCUUCUGCUUUCUGUCAUGAAAUGAAGCAGUACCCGCCCUCACCAGAUGCCACGACCAGACUCUUGGAUUUCAGCCUAAGGAAUCAGGAGGGAAAUAAUCUUCCGUUCUUUACACACUACCCAGUCUCUGGUAUUGUAUUAUAGUGACAGAAAGCAAGGCUGAGGUCACUAAGAGAAGAACAGUGGUGUAAAUGUACACGACUCUCAUCUGGAAAGAUGGACCGAGAGUUUGAAGUCAGCCGUGUCUCAAACAAAACAAAACAAAACAAAACAAAACAGCGGGAUGGCUUAUUUUAAAAAAUGAGGAAUUAGAUGAACGAAGAUGCAACUUCAAAGAAUGCUGUACUGUUAUACAGAAGCAGUUCUGAACCUGUAGGGGCUAAAUGUCCUCUCACAGGACUCAUUUAUCAGAGAUGAGAUACUUCACAAUUCACAACAGCAAAAUUACAGUUACGAAGUAGUAACAAAAAUAAUCUUAUGGUUGGGGGUCAGCACAACAUGAGGAGUUGUACUAAAGGGUUACACGCAGCACUUGGAAAGCUAGAGAAUCACUGUUAUAAAGCACUGAGCUAAGAAGACAGUCUGUUCCAGACUUUACCUGUUGUGCCAAUUGGAGGUAAUCAUUACCUUGGCCGGUCUAGAAUCGCCUGGGUGACGGCCCUCUGGGUGUGCCUGUGUGGGAUUACCUUGAGUAAGUUAACUGAGGGGAGCUUGCCUGGUCAGUGUGGAUGCAGCAUUCCCUGACUAGAAUCCUAGACUGUAGAGGCUGGGCAGAAGCAUUCAUUGCUCACAGGAUGGGAACAGCUGCUUGAAGCUCCAGCUACCGUCACUCGACUCCGUGGCACGAUGGGUGGAGCCCAACACCCCACCCCUGACGCUGCAUUUCUAUUGCUGGAUAUUUCAUUACUGCAAAGGAAAAGUAACUAAGACCCUGGGUGAAUUAAGUUCUCCCCUUCUAAGGGGUCCAGGGGAUAGAACUCGGGUCACCAUGCUUGGUGGCAAAUACAUUCAACCUUCCAAACACUCGUCUAUUUUAUGGUGUUUGCCAGUCUGCAGUUUUGGAACAUGUGACAUGAAAAUUACUUUAACAGUUGUUCAGUCUCUGUCAGAACUCUCGGCCAUCGGGUAAACAAUCACUGAAGUUCUUCCUUUGGUCUCCAGACAGUCAAUGUGCAAAUCAAUUUUAAUCUCUCUUCUCCUACCAAAAAUCUUAAAAAAAAAAAAAAAAGGAGGGAAGUUUGAGCCUGUUUUCUGCAUGGGGUCAUUUGCCUCAAGUCCAUCCUGAAGGGGGGAGCCCUAAAUCUGUGUUGCUAGUUACACAUUUUGCUAAUACACACCAGACAACAAGUUAACAUCUUACAAAAUAGAAUUAACACAGCAAAAACCUCACAGAUAAUAAAAAACAAAGUAGACAUUUCGUUAUGAUCUAUUAUCAAUUGAAUCAUUUUAAAGAAUGAUAUUAAAUAAGCAAUGAGUCUAUUGCUAAUAAUUGCGAUAAUGAAUUCUGACUGACAAGUUGGUUGCAUUGAGAAAUACCUAGACUAUGGGCUGGCGAGAUGGCUCAGUGGCUAAGGGUGAUUGCUGCCAAGCCUGAUCUCCAGAAUCCACAUAGUAGAAGAAAGAGAAGUGGCUCUUGUGAGUUGUCUUCUGACCUUUACAUGUGUGGAAUGAUCUGUUUCUGCAUCAGCCCUUGGGCAUAUACACACACUAAAUAAAAGAAAAUGUAAACAUUUCAAUACCGACUAGACUAUAGGAGGUGUUACCUUGCUGGAGAAGUGUCUCGAGGUUUAGAGACUUGCCCUGACCCUUCCUGUCAGGAGUCAUCCCUGCUUUCUGGGUAACAGCUCUGUUCCAUUAGGACCUCCUCAUCAUGUGUCUUUUUUUUUUCUUUUUUUUUUUUUUCCCAGAGCUGGGGACCAAACCCAGGGCCUUGUGCUUGCUAGGCAAGCGCUCUACCGCUGAGUUAAAUCCCCAACCCCCUCAUCAUGUGUCUUAGUUACUGUUCUAUCACUCUGACAAAACACCACAACCAAGGCAAAUUAUAAAACAAAGCCUUAAUUGUAGAAGUGCUUACAGUUUCGAAGGGUUAGUCCAUGACCAUCAUGGCGGGAAGCAUGGUGGCAGGCAGACAGGCAUUGACAGGAGCAGGAGCUGAGCGCUCACAUCCCAUUCAUAAGUUACAGACAGAGAGAAUGAGACUGGACCUGGCAUGGGCUUUUGAAAUCUUAAAGCCCACACCUUCUCAGUGACAUACCUCCCCCAAGGUCACACCUCCUGAUCCUUCCCAAAUAGUUCCACUAAUAAGGGAUGGAGCAGUCAAACAUAUGAACCUAGGGGAAGGCCAUUCGCAUCCAAACUACCACAGCCGGAUAGACUGAAUCCAUGAGCAAAAUGAAUCCUUCGUCCCUUUGGUCAUUUUAUGUCCGGUAUUUUUCUAUAGCAAUUCAGAAGCUGACAGCUACAGUCCUCAGAUACAUCAGAAACUACAGAUGCUUGAGAAGUUCUGCUAUUGGAAGAUGACACAAUGGUUGUCCUUUCUAUGUCAUCAUGGUCAUUCCCCAUGACCCCCACCUUUGAGUAGAUGGGUUGCUGAAUGGGUGCAACACACACACACACACACACACACACACACACACACACACUUUUUAAAAAGAUAACAGCAUUUCAAAAACAAAAAGAAUAGUUUAUGGACCAUUGAAUAUUUGUGGCAUAAAGAAUAGCAGCCCAGAAACAAUGAUGCUCAUCUAGGCGGAAAGAGAAUCAAUUUCGUUUUGUAAUCAAACAGAAUCUUGAAAUGACACUGUGCUCGCAAGUAACCUCCCUCUCUCUCAAGGCUAAGCAAUCUGCCGGUUGACUUUAUUCUGUGGAAACCACCUCCCUUUGUGGUUUAGAGCUUUCAAAACAUUGAAUGUUUAGUGUCCGUAUAAUUAGAUCACCAGAGUAAUAAGUUGGACACGGUGGCUCACAUCUGCCAUUCCUGCACUUGAGAGGCUGACAUAGGAGGAUCAUUGCUCUGCAAGGCCAGUCUGGGCCAGAGAAAAACCCCAUCUCAAAGCAAACAAACAAACAAACGAAUGAAUGGGAUAGGAAAGGAAAGAAGGGAGGGACAUUCACUCAUGGAAUGAGUAGUUCCGUGUGGGAAGGACUUCUCUCAGCACAGUCCAGACACUUCUAUUUCUUGCAAUAAAGCCAUCACCUUGAUUUUGAAAGUCACUGGCUAAUGGGAAUGGUGUCACCUUCUCUAACCCCAACAUUUUAUUAGGGGAAUCUUGAGUCCUACCAAAGGAAUAGGACUGCUUUCUCAUCUGAUAUUUUUAACUCCUGGUUUGUUUUUUUUUUAAAGAUA